UGCUAUACAUGCAAGUCGAGCGGACAGAUGGGAGCUUGCUCCCUGAUGUUAGCGGCGGACGGGUGAGUAACACGUGGGUAACCUGCCUGUAAGACUGGGAUAACUCCGGGAAACCGGGGCUAAUACCGGAUGGUUGUCUGAACCGCAUGGUUCAGACAUAAAAGGUGGCUUCGGCUACCACUUACAGAUGGACCCGCGGCGCAUUAGCUAGUUGGUGAGGUAACGGCUCACCAAGGCGACGAUGCGUAGCCGACCUGAGAGGGUGAUCGGCCACACUGGGACUGAGACACGGCCCAGACUCCUACGGGAGGCAGCAGUAGGGAAUCUUCCGCAAUGGACGAAAGUCUGACGGAGCAACGCCGCGUGAGUGAUGAAGGUUUUCGGAUCGUAAAGCUCUGUUGUUAGGGAAGAACAAGUGCCGUUCAAAUAGGGCGGCACCUUGACGGUACCUAACCAGAAAGCCACGGCUAACUACGUGCCAGCAGCCGCGGUAAUACGUAGGUGGCAAGCGUUGUCCGGAAUUAUUGGGCGUAAAGGGCUCGCAGGCGGUUUCUUAAGUCUGAUGUGAAAGCCCCCGGCUCAACCGGGGAGGGUCAUUGGAAACUGGGGAACUUGAGUGCAGAAGAGGAGAGUGGAAUUCCACGUGUAGCGGUGAAAUGCGUACAGAUGUGGAGGAACACCAGUGGCGAACGCGACUCUCUGGUCUGUAACUGACGCUGAGGAGCGAAAGCGUGGGGAGCGAACAGGAUUAGAUACCCUGGUAGUCCACGCCGUAAACGAUGAGUGCUAAGUGUUAGGGG
rnacentral:rRNA from 1 species